CUGUAAGUCCAGCCGGUACAGCAUGGAAUCUGUUUGGUAAUUACUACACAAUAUGCUGUACCUAGUAGGGUUAUCACUGCUGUUUUGACGGGAAUACAUAAUGGUGAGUUUAUAGAUUAACAGGUUGAACAGGUUGAUCCGUGUUUGUGUUUGUGUUUGUGUUGGUUGCCUUUCCAGGGUGUAACUUUAAACCUCAUUCUUAAGAGUCACAACAUGGCUGUGAAUAGGUCCGUUGUUGUCGGUGGCGUGUGGCACUCAAGCCCCUCCCCUUUCCACAGUCCUGUGAAGCAGGUGCAUAACUGGAUGGACGCAUUGUGUUAGUGCGUGGAUUAUUGUGACGCAACAGUAAGUGUUCCAACAGCGCGCUGUAAAUGACACUGAGAGCACUGCGUCUGAGGACACUCCCCGAGGCGCGCCUUUCCUGACAAACAAAAGAAACUGGAAAAAAAGAAGAAAAAUCAAUUCCUUUCAAAAGCUUCUGGGACAUUAUCAUUAUUUGGAAGGAUAGGACGGCACAGAGGGCCCUUCUUCGUCGGGUCUAAAGCCAAUUAAUUCUCUGUUCCAGAGGUGGACAAUCGUUGCCGGGCCGAGGUAAAGUAAAUGUAUGCCACAUCCACCUGCUGACGUUUCAAAGGGCGUGCCACACGCGCAUGUGUCACCUGUAGAUCCUGGACGAGAAAGCCAAAAGGGAACUGGCACAACAGCCUGACACAGAAACAAUGAGGAAAAUGCACGCCUGAUGUUUCUGGUUUGUUUUAGUAUUUGGCCACGGAAAGCUAUGUUUCGAAAAAAUGAAGACGCAAGGAUGAAAGCUUGGGGGGUUCAAUCGGAUGGAUCUUCAAGUCGGCACGUGUCCGCGUCCUCUGUCAGAGCGAUGAAGCCAGGCGUCAAACAUCUACGCUGGUUGCACAUACUUCCUCUGGUGGUCCUUGUGGCAGCACAGGCUUCCUGUAAUGAGACCUCUGCUGCUCCUUCCCCUCCAUUCAUUACUACUGAAAAUGUCUCGACAUCCGGUAAAAGCUGACAGAAUCAUCUCACACACUGACAUACCAGACAUAUCAGCAAUGCUACUUGAUGACUCUAGUUUAUAAAAUUAUCAAAAUGAUCGUUCAUUUUACUUGAGGAUGGAUGGACAUAUAGUGAUGGUUUUACAUGUAGAAUAUAACUAGUGUAUAAGUAUAUGUUAUUUUACAAUUAGAAUCAUCCCAACCUGAAGCUAUUAUGAACGUUGAUCUUAAAUUGUCCUUUACGGUCAGUUAAAACCACAUUCUGUCUUUCUUCUUACGACAGCGCACUACUU
ensembl:lncRNA